UACGAAGGGGGCUAGCGUUGUUCGGAUUUACUGGGCGUAAAGCGCACGUAGGCGGAUCUUUAAGUCAGAGGUGAAAUCCCAAGGCUCAACCUUGGAACUGCCUUUGAUACUGGGGAUCUUGAGUCCGGGAGAGGUGAGUGGAACUGCGAGUGUAGAGGUGAAAUUCGUAGAUAUUCGCAAGAACACCAGUGGCGAAGGCGGCUGUCUGGUCCGGUUCUGACGCUGAGGCGCGAAAGCGUGGGGAGCAAACAGG
rnacentral:rRNA from 1 species